AUGGGGAAGGAACUGAAAUUGCAAAUAUUGUUUCCUCAACAAAUGCAGAAAGAACCAAGUAUGGAAUGAAGAAAACUUAGGCCAAGACUUACCUCUCGAUACUUGGCAGUUGGCAGCAGGAAUUAACUUCUCUUCAUCUCCCUUUCUGGUGCUUAGUGUAUGAGAGAAGGAAUGAAUGGAGGUGAAUGGAGGAAGGUUGCUGCUCAAUUGUUUGCUUGAAGAAGUGUUGGCUAGUAGCCUUCAAGAAUCGAAGAUGGUGGGGAGAAUGUAGUGGAGGAAAGCAAAAGGUGGUGGGCAAAGGAUUGUAGUGCACACUUUUCCUU
rnacentral:lncRNA from 1 species